rnacentral:rRNA from 1 species
UACAGAGGCCCCAAGCGUUACUGGGAAUCACUGGGCUUAAAGGGUGCGUAGGUGGCGCGUUAAGUCCGUUGUGAAAGCCCUGGGCUCAACCCAGGAACUGCUUCGGAUACUGGCGCGCUUGAGGCUAGUAGGGGUCACUGGAACUGACGGUGGAGCGGUGAAAUGCGUAGAUAUCGUCAGGAACGCCAAUGGUGAAGACAGGUGACUGGGCUAGUUCUGACACUGAGGCACGAAAGCGUGGGGAGCGAACGGG